GUGCUCACUUCGGCAGCACAUAUAAUAAUAUUGGAAUGAUACAGAGAUUAGCAUGGCCACUGCACAAGGAUGACAUGAAAAUUCAUGAAGCAUUCCAUAUUUUU
ensembl:snRNA U6 U6 spliceosomal RNA